GUAGGUGGCAAGCGUUGUCCGGAAUUAUUGGGCGUAAAGCGCGCGCAGGUGGUUCUUUAAGUCUGAUGUGAAAGCCCCCGGGCUCAACCGGGGAGGGUCAUUGGAAACUGGGGAACUUGAGUGCAGGAGAGGAAAGUGGAAUUCCACGUGUAGCGGUGAAAUGCGUAGAUAUGUGGAGGAACACCAGUGGCGAAGGCGACUUUCUGGCCUGUAACUGACACUGAGGCGCGAAAGCGUGGGGAGCAAACAGGAUUAGAUACCCUGGUAGUCCACGCCGUAAACGAUGAGUGCUAAGUGUUGGGGGGUUUCCGCCCCUCAGUGCUGCAGCUAACGCAUUAAGCACCCCGCCUGGGGAGUACGGUCGCAAAGACUGA
rnacentral:rRNA from 1 species